rnacentral:lncRNA from 1 species
GAGGGGGAAGGAGGGCCCAGUAGAGCCUCUACGACCCUUGGCUGCCUCCUCACCAGUUCCCCCUCCCCCCCCAAGUCCUGUAAGAAGUUGGGCCAAGCUGGAAGGGAUUGACCGGGUAAGUGUCCAGACUUGACUCUUGUACUCAGGGUGGAGGCGGACUUGGAUGGAGGAAGACUGGGCCCUAACCCUGGGCCACUCGGGCUGGCAGGGGAACAGGGGUCUUUCAGGAGGGACCCCAACUCCUAAUCAAGAAGGAAGGUCAGCUGGGCCCCUGGAGAGAGGGAGCCCUUGAUAAGUAUAGAGAAGACUGAGGUUGAGAGAAAACCUUUGAAAUUGAGCUGAUUUUUUUUUUUUUUUGGUCUUAGUGGGUGGCAGAGCUGAAUUGGGAUUUGGGCCAGGAGCCAGGGGAUCUGAGCAGGCCUGUACCACUCCCAAAAGGCCAGGAGCCUCCUAACACGACUUAGGCCUAAACUGCUUUCCCUGAAGAGGUUUCUAGAGGCUUUUCUGGCUGGCUGGUGGAAGGCCAGGGUAGAGUCCAGCUCGGCCUUUCCCUUACUCCAGCCCCGUGUGGGAUUUCUGGGCCUCCCAGUCCCCCAGACGGGGGAAAGCCUAUCCCUUGGCCCAAGUACCGCUGACCAAGCCAGGGAUGUAGGUGGCUAAGAGAGGCUGCUGGCAAGCACCCUGCUUUCCCUUCCCUACACCCCAGAUCUGUCAAGAAUGGUCUAGGGUGUGCCCAGUGAUGGGAGAGGCAGGCCCCCAGAGAAAAGACAAGUGGGAGGGCAGUGGAGUAGGGGAAACAUUUAUUUGACUUCAAGGAAAGCUACAAACAAAUACCAAAAGCGAAUCACUGAGACAGGCCCGGCAAAGGCAAAGACAGAUUUCACACGUAGCACAGCAUCCACUCACUCACUACAAAUGGUCUUAGAAGCGAACUGGGGGUGGGGGGUGGGGAGGGGAUGGGUCUGACCCAGACUAUCCCCCUAUUUACAAGGUUUGGGCCCUCUACUCCAGACCCAUGGACUCACAGAGAAAUACACAAGACAUUUUACACUGAGGAUUAUUUUUGUUUCCCUACACUCCCAGGCCAGGCCUUGUGGGGCCUACCCAGGCGGCAGGAACCUUACUCUCAAGGUUUACCUUCCCUCUUCUCCAUAUCACCCUCUUUGGCCCUCCCUGCCCCCUUCCCACCCCAGGACCAAGCCACUGGGAGACUUGGGCCUGGGGAGUGGGGAGGGAGGAGGAGGAGGGUGGAAAGAGACAGUCAUGGACUCCAUCGCGGAGGCCAGCUCAGCUGGGCCAGGGCGCUGCGGCACUACCCCACCUCAACUGCUGCCCCUUAGAGAAGUUUCAAGCUGAAACUCAAAAUACAGCGAUCAUCCUUUUAUAAAUAAGUUAGAAGAACACAGAUGGGGAGGGGAAAGUUCACAUUAAACAUGCGAGUUUCUUUCUUUCCUGGGGGAAGGAGUGCAACCACAGACACGAACAUUCAGAAAUACUGGCGGAUUUGGGGUGAGUGGAGGGGCGUGGGGAGCAUGGAGGGAAAAUAAUAAUAAUUAUUAUUAUUAACAAUAAUAACAAGAUUAACCAGUCCAGGAGAGAGGGAGCCACAGGAAGACCUAAGACCGAACGAAAAAUCGUAACACAAGGCCGGGGCGAGGCAGGCUCGUGGGAACCGGUCCCCAGCGGGCAGUGGCAGCGCAGGGAGGCUUGGAGGGGCCAGGGCUGGGGGCGGCAAGGGCUCUCGGGCCACCCAGGGCUCCUCCCGGCGGGCUCAGGGCUGGAAGGCGCUGCCGGCUGUAGCCAGGCUCAUACUUUUCAGUUUGUUGUCUUUCUUCCACUUCAUGCGCCGGUUCUGGAACCAGAUCUUGAUCUGGCGCUCGGACAGGCAGAGCGCGUGGGCGAUCUCGAUGCGCCGCCGCCGCGUCAGGUAGCGGUUGAAGUGGAACUCCUUCUCCAGCUCUAGGGUCUGGUAGCGGGUGUACGCGGUCCGGGCCCUUUUCCCGUCCGGCCCGGUCAUAUCUGGAGCAGACAGAGUAGAGCCGCGAGGCAAUGUUAUUCCGGUUAAGGGAGGGGGGCACUGGAUGGGAGAGGGGCGUGGAGCAGGACCCAGGCGUCCCUGGCACCCAGCUCACCGCAGCUCCAAUCCUCCCCACUCCAGACGCCCGCAUCCGAGCUCGCUUCUGCACCCCCUUCUCCUGCAGCCCCCACUUCUGCCGGCAGUGAAUGCGCCCGGCUUUGUCUCUUGCUCCCUCCCUGUGCCUCACCCUUCGCUGGGCUCAGGCGGCCGCUCGCCCCGGGAGGGAGGAGAGCGGCUGCACUUUUGCCCUGGAAAGCUCGUUUUACUGCUCGCCCCUCCUUUGCUAGCAGCAGCCUCAAAAUUUCGGGGGUAAGCACGACCCUUCCCCACGUUACAUAAACCCCAUCCUUCAUCCUAUAGCUAGUACAGCUGGGCGAAUAAAACCUUAGCCGAAUCUGGAGACAAAUGAUUAAAAAUACUCCUCCCCAGCUAAAGACCUAGACCUUCUUUGGCUCUAUCCCCCGAGCUGUGAGGACCCUCUUAGAGACUUCUCCCCCCCCCCCCCCCCCAACCUCCCCAAACGCAGAGAAGGAAAGCCGGGGGAAGACAAAAAAGGGAGCGAAAGCGACAAUUACCAUGGCUGAUGUGAAGCUUCCUCAUCCAGGGGAAUAUCUGCGGAGUCUGCCCCUCGGGCGCGGCUGUGGAGGUGGCCAUGGGCUCUGGCUGUGCCCGAGCUAGGCUCGGGCUGCUUAGCUGGCUCGCCGCUUCCUCAGGCUCCGAGGAUGCGCUGGCCUCGUCUAUUUCGGUGAAAUUGGCGCUGGAGCUGGCCGGGGUCGCCUGGUCGGAGGGGGACGAAGCAGAGGGCUUGGCGCUGUGGCUGUCGCCGUUGGUGCAGGGCAGGGACUCGGGCGAGGACAGGGAGCAGCUCGACGCCGCCUGCCUGAAGCGGGGCUCCUGGGCGGGCGCGGGGAAGGCGCGCGAGCUCUCGCCCACCGCCCCAAAGUGGCUGGAGGAGGCCGAGGAGCGGUUGACGCUGAGGUCCAUCCCAUUGUAAUUGUAGCCGUAAGAGCCGGUGUGCAUGGCAGCGGGAUCCCUGUAAGAGCCGCUCAGAGAGCUGCCACUGCCAUAAUUUAGCAACUGAUAGUCCGGGCCAUUUGGAUAACGCCCCGAGAAGGAGUUUACAAAGUACGAGCUCAUUUGGGUGAUUUUGGAGGGCUUGAUUUGUGGAUCGUGGUCGUUAUAACCCUGUGCUUCACGAUUUAUGAUGUAUUAAUGAAUUAUAGCGAUGCACUGUACUUCGUUUUGCUAUGUAUGCGGCCAAAUAUGGGGGGGGGGUUGGAAGGGGGAUGGGGGGGCGUUAGAGAAUCACGUGCUUUUGUUGACCAGUCGUAAAUUCUCGCUGAUGACCUCAAGAGGUAAUUCAUGCUCUAUGGUUACAAAUAAUGACGAUCCGAGAAUCGUUAGGGCCGAUUCAAUGCGAGCCUCCGAGAGAGGGGGAAAAAAGGAGAAGGGGGAGAAACCGGGAGAAGGUUGGCGGCGGCCUCUGAGCAGAGCGCGCCACCUCCCGGCGAUCGGCGGGAGCGCGGGCCGCAGACUGCCAUGGCGGCGACCGCUGCCUCCCUGCUGGCUCCCUGCAAACGCCGGGCGAGAAAAGAAACCUGGGCCAGGCUCACCCGCAGAGUUGAGUCUUUUAGAGGAGGGACCCAGUUGAGCCUUUACCCACUUUCUUGAAAGUGGUGUUAGACUACUGGUGUCCUUCUCCUUGUCAUUAUUAUUAUUAUUAUUAUUAUAUUUUCACUCUGGAUGAGAUGAUCAAAAACUGAGUCGCUUUUCCCUCAUGUGGGCUUUGCAAGUCUCCGAGUUGGGGAAGGAAAUGGUGGGGGGAGGGUUGGAAGAUGUGUGAAAAACAAUUAUUGCAAUGCGUUUCCCCCUGAGUUCAGCCCGGCCUGCUUCCUGCCUGGACUGCUGUGGCCCAUGCAUAGCGUCCAGGCGGAGCUGGCAGGGCUGGGCCGAGGGUUCCACGGAGAAGCUUUCACUUCUGUGCCCUUUAGAAGUUUGGAAUCCUCCUCCUGACUUCCUCUUCAUCCUUAGCCCAGGCCCGGAAAAUGGCAAAGCAGGACAGGGACCUCAGAGGAGGAACAGGGCUGGGGCUAAGCGGCCUAGUUUAGGGGAAAACGGCAGCAGAGUAGGUGCCUGGGGUUUGGGGUUCUGCGAGUCUGGGAUGAAGGCAAGACCCUUUCACCAGAUGCCCGCUAUUGCAUUGGGAGGCCCCACUGAAGGCCCCUUGCUGGCAUCUGGGUAGUUUCAGAAUGUGCUCCGAGGCCCACAUCUUCCCUGGAAAGGGGUUCCGAGGACCAGCGGCGCCUUGCUGAGCAUGCUGGGCGGCCAAAGACCGCCGCAGCUGGGCUCCUUCUGCCGGAUGGCUAUUUUCUUUAAAAAUAAAAAAGCGAGAGAGAGGGAGGAGGAAGAAAGGAAAACAGUGUCCGCAGAUUGCUGCCUGGGUGAGGGUGGGGGUGGGGAGAGAAUGGGUCGUUUUUUUGGUUGAGGGCAUGAGACCAAAAUGCCCCAUCACCUGGCCUCCUGCCCUCAAGUGUCCAAGGAGCAGGGGAAAGUCGUGCCCUCCACCCCGCGCCCGCCGGCGCCUUCAAAUUCCCCUACUUGUCGAUGAGCUCCUGCUUGAGGCAGGAAGGGGCGCCUGGAGCCUUCAGCUGCGCGCGGAGAGAUACCCGGUGGCCCCGAUUUUAGUCUCCAGAGGCACGGGCCGGGAGCCGAGGGCCAAGGCCGGAGGAGGUCAGGCCAUGUGGACAGGCCAAAGGCUACCGGCUUCGCGAUCGUGAGGACAGCAAGGCGCUGCUGAGGCGCCAGACCCUCCUGGCUGUCUCUGCAGGGGCUCCGGGCUCGGGCCUCGAUCGUCCCUCGUGCCACGGACAAACGAGGAAAAGCUAGAGAAUGAGAGGGAAACGGCCCUUCUCCGUCCCCCAAGUGUGCACCAGGAGAGGCUGUUUGGAGCCGCAGCACUGGCGAGGCGCGGCGCGGGAGCCUGGGCGGGACCGCUCCAGCCUUUAUCUCAACUGUAACUUCCGAGUCGUGUCGGGCCCGCUGGGGCCGACCAGGGCUCCAGCCUUUGCUGCGGAGUUUCCGGCACUGGGACGAUGGGGUGGCCUUGGGGGUGGGGGAGUGGCAGGGGAGGAGCAGAGGUGACCGAGCGGCGAGUUUUAACGUCUUUAUUAUUAUCAUCAUCAUCAUUAUUAAUAAUAUUAAUAUUAUUACCGAAGUAUUUCACGUCCAGAGCUAAGACAAGACUACAAACACAACACAUAGAAAAUUAAUAAAAUAGAACUUUGUUUUCUUCUGAGGCUCCUCUUCUUACUUCUAGGUAGUAUGUGCUCCUUCCAGUGGCUUUAGGGAGGGGGUGGGAGAGAGGUCUGGGGUCAGGGAGUCUUCGAGGCCCCCGCUGAGGGGACUGCGAAUCUACCAUUGAACCGUGCACCGGGGACAUGGACGAAAUGAGACGCGACACGGACAAGAGCAUUUUGCUCUGCUUCCAGGAAACAUCAAGUGAGUCCGGUCCUCAGUUCUCACAGGGGAGCCUGAUGGGGCUGAAGCGGGUCCCGCAGGGAUGGAGGGGGCGCUCAGGGUGCUGGGUGGGCUCAGGCGGCAGGGCCUCCCAGCACCCAAUGAGAGCUCUGCGGGCGGGGGCGUCCAGAGAGCGCUGGGGCCCCCCCGCACGUGUCGUGCGCUAGAGAGCAGGUCCCCCGGGUCCCCCGCCCGCAGAGCCUUCUCGGGGCUCUCCGAGGCCCUCGGCUCCCCACAGGCCGCUCCCUUCGCGUCCCCCCUCCCUUUCCAACGCCUUCACUCCGCUGGUUUUUCUUCCUCCUCCUCGGCACUGAGCUGAGACGCGCUGAGCAGUUUGCUCUCCUUUUUCCACUUCAUGCGCCGGUUCUGGAACCAGAUCUUGAUCUGCCGCUCGGUCAGGCACAGGGCGUGCGCGAUCUCGAUGCGCCGCCGCCGCGUCAGGUAGCGAUUGUAGUGAAACUCUUUCUCCAGCUCCAGCGUCUGGUAGCGCGUGUAGGUCUGGCGGCCGCGUCGGCCGCUGGGCCCAAAGGAGGAACCUGUUACGCAGAGAGAAGAUGCUGAGGCCUGGGGUCAGCGGGGCCAGAACCCCCUCCCCCACUCGACCCUCAGACAUGGACUCUAGCCUGUCCCGGGAUGCCCUCCGCUCUCCGAGAGUUCCCUGCUCCCCCCCCCCGCCCCCCUCUUUCACUCCUCCAGCGCCCCCUCCAGAUUCCCUCCGGGUCUCCCAGGCCUGUGCCUCUGGUCUAGACUCCAGGUGGGGGAUGGGAGGAGGGCUUAAAAUCCCACCUGAGCCGAGGGGGAGGGGCUGGGGAAGCACUGGCCAGGUGUGUCUCUUCCUAGCCUCAUCUUUUCUUUCCAUCUAUCUGGCUCCCCCACCACCCUGUGAUAGAUUCCAGCCCUUAAUCCGUAAUGACGUGGAUCGAUCCAUAGUCGGCAUUAACGGCUCCUCACUUUCGUGUCCCGCUAAUGGACAUCAAUUUGGGACUUCAGGCCGACAAAUAAUCCAACCUGAGACCCAGGCGCCUGCUUCUCCCUCUCUCCCCCUCCGCCUGCCUGCGCCUGCUCCCUCUCCCUUUCUUCCCCUUAUUCGCCCUCCCUCCUCUGACUACCACCCCUUUCCUGGUGCCUCCUCCCUCCCCAGCCCCGGGCCCCCAGGGAAACACAGUCCGGGACAGACUCAACUCUCCCUCGCCAGCGUCACGCCGCCCCCCUUCCUAUGACGCACUCCGUUUUUAAUGGAACCGUCUUCGGGUGGGGGACCCGACCAGGGCUGGGGGCACGAGGGAAAGCCACGCCAGUGGCUGCGGCCCCUGCCCCCUCCCCUGCCCCGGAAUCCGGCUCUGGCGUGGCGCUCCGGGAGAGCCCACUCGCUCCCCCUGGCUCCCAGUGCAGCUGGGACUUUGCAAACUUUGUAACUCCUGAGGGCCAGAGGACAGAGCGGGAGACCCGGGGCAGGCGCCCAGUCCUCCCUUAGCUCCUAACUGAGAUGCCCACCCAGCACCCCGGGGGGGGGCGGGGGCGGGAAGGAGGUGGGGGCGCUACUUCUGUCCCCGGGGGUGGGGGCCCGCGGGGGUCGGGGCGGCCGCGGGAGGGCUCACUCACUGUUGCACGAAUUCAUCCGCUGCAUCCACGGGUAGACCGGAGUGGAGCACUUCUGCUCCUCCGCCUCGCCGAACACGCUCUUGUCCUGCGCACAGUCUGACUUCCGCGGCUCAGGGUGGAACCGGGGCGGCUCUUCGGCGCCCGAGAGCGCGCAGGCCGACUCCUUCUCGCGGUAGAAGGCCGGCGCCGGCCCGUAGUCGCAGGGCGCCGCUCGGCCGUAGCCGCCGCCAGCGGGCGGGUAAUAGGAGGAAGCGGCAAAGCCCUUGUCCUGGCCGGGCCCGGGCCCGUAGGGCGCGGGGUAGUGCCUCAGCGGGUCCGCAUAGCCCGACGAGUAGAGCGGUAGCUGGCCCAGGAAGGACUCCUGCCCGCUGGCCAGAGUGACGGGGAAGGUGGAGUUCACGAAAUAGGAACUCAUUGGGAGGGGAGGCGCGCUCGGCCGCUGCUGCUCCGCCGGGUUUAUGAUUUGUUGUGUUUUAUAGUCCGAGCGCCGCGCCUAUUAGUAGUAUAUCUGAGAUUGGGUUUUAGCUGAGGGGGGAUGGCGAGGUGCCAGUGAGGGCCAGAAGGAAAUACAACCAUCUGAUCCAACACUGACCAAUGGCAGAGGCAGGAAUUGUCAAAUAGCACCCAGGAGGAGCGCAGCCCGCGCGAGGGACCCGCGCACAAACCUAUCAACCUUUUUUUUUUCCCUCCUUCUUCUCCUUCUCCUCUCUCUCUCUCUCUCUCUCUCCCCGACAACACAACGCGUCCUGUUCCACCUACGUAGGAUCUGCGAAAGAGGCGUCUGUGCCUUGGAGGGAGGAGGGAGCAUUUGGAUUGAGACCACCCCAUCCCCCAGUGAUUAAAUAAAUAUAUCCCUCCCCUCCCCACGCAGGAUAGGAAAAAGUUAAUUGUGUUUUCAGAAAAGUUAACCCCUGCGUGGCUUGAGCCCCGUUCCCUCAAGGGAAGGGUGGGUAAAUGUCCCCCGAAUGAAUCUCCGCGUGGUGAGGAGAGAACUGAAGGAAAAGGUUUGUUUCUAGGGUUUUGUGUAGUUAGAGAAGGAGAAGAGUUCACUGUUUAGCAUCGCUUUCAGAAAGAGAGGCGAAGAAGAGGAAGCACUCUCCUUCCCAGGUGAAAACUGUUUUUCCUGCUUCUCAGGUCUACUCUGUCUCCUCCAAGCCUGGGUUUAUUAUUCUCGCUUCUACACAAUUCUUAUGGUCUGAAGGGCAGGCCAGAGCCCAGAGGACCCAGAAGUCUGGGAAAUAGGCGGGUCUGAGCCCAAGGUUCUCCCUCCGGCUCUGUGGCUAGGUUAAGCUAAGCGAGGCUAGGAGCUUCUUGGAAGGCUACGGCGGCUGCCCAAGACGUCCUGCCUGGUUCCAGCAUCUGCUGCUUGCUCUUGGAAUGGGAAGGGGCACUGGGGAAAGGGAAUAGCCUUCUCUUCACUUGUGGGAUAGGGAGAGGAAGAGGAAGGGACAUCCCCCAGCCUAGGUUCCCCUGAUCCCUACCCUGCCUGCAACACUCACUCCACCCCCACCCCCUACCCCCCAAAUCAUUAGAAUAUCCUGGGCUACAGAUUCUUAAGAAUCAAAGAUAUCUCAGUACGUCUGGGUACAGGGAAGAAAUUGUUCCCCCUCCAAUCUGGGUCCUCAAAACUGCCUAAUAUUUGAGGCAAUCAGAGACAGCCGGGAAGAGAGGGGACCUUGCUCCUUUUCCAGGUCUCUCCAGAAGCUGGCAGGUCUCUUUAAAAUGAAUUUUUUCCCAAGACUCGGUUUGGGCUUAGUUUUAUAAGGAGGGAGAGGUGUUCAGGUCCUCCUGGGGACUCAGCAGGCAGCUUACAACUAUCAGCCCGAAUCCCCUCUCCAGAGGCUCACCACCCUUCUGUCAGACUCUCAGUGUCUCUCCAGUCCCUCCCACAUCUCAUAUUUGUAUCACCAGCUUUGCUGCUGCACAGGCUUGAGUGUGAGAAAGAGUGCUCAUCUCUGUUCCUCUCUCUCUUUCUCUCCCUCUCUCUCUCUCUCUCUCAUCUAAGGAAAAUGAGCCUUGAAGCCAGGCUGGAAGACUGAAUCACAAUGUUUUCAACAUUCUAACUAUGCACAUGGAAGCCAGGCACUAAAGGUCGAUAAUGUUCAGACCUGAGUUCAGGAAUGAGUCAGGAUGUGUGACAAAAUCUGAUGAUGAAGGGGCCAGCUGACUGUCUGCUAUCUCAUACUUUGGGUUCCUUUUUGUGGGCCAGGUUUGCCCACUAAAGAUGACACAAGAUACUAGGGAAAGUGGUUGGGAUACUAGGGAAAGGGCUGAGCUUGGUGACCAAAAGUGGGAAAUUGGUUGGUUGCACAGUGGCCUACAAGGAUCCCGGAACUCGGGAAUGCUUCUAGGCUAUACCUUCAUGGCCACAUAGUGAUCCCUGGAUGUCCCACCAAUCACUUCCUAGCCCAACUUGGGGGGGGGGGAAGGGGGUUAUCAAAAUUUAAGAAAAUAAACUCAAGUCUUCUAAUGAUGAAGAAUCCUAAGUGCCCCAAUCUAGCUGUGAUUGGGCCAACUCCUAGAGAGGAAUAGGGAACAUUUGGGCUGGGGGAGCAAGGUCAGGAGGGUGCCUGUAUGCACCUCCCUCCUCCUUGCCACUGAGGCUAGGCCUUGGGCCAUAUCUGUCCUGCCUCCUCCCUGGUCACAGUGUCCCCUUCCUAGAAAUGCACAAUGUGGGCUUUGCUGUGGAGUCGAGACUAAGUAGGAUGCUGUAAGACAGGGAGACUUCCCUGAUACAGAAGCAUGAAAAUAAUCUCCUUAUCCUUAGAGCCACAGCCCCAAAUUAACCUCACCUCUGCAGGUUGCCUGUCACGAGAUGGAGCCCGAAGCAGGGCCUGGGCGCCUGGAGUCCAGCAUGAAAAGAAAUAGCGCCUCAUCGCUCUUAUCUAAGCCCAGAGGUAUUUAUGAGCGUUUAUUCGUCUGAUCCGUUUGUUUGGGAGAAAGAGCAGACAGGGCCCGGCCAGAGGCCGCCUGGUCUCUGGAGCCAGAUCUCUACGAAUCUGUCUGUGGUUCGGUCCACUGCCGUCUGUCUGUCUCCAAGGGGGAAUAUGUAAAUACCCAGCAGGCACAGCCGUCUGCCAGUCUGGGGUGUCUCUCCCAGCCUCAUUGAGGAAGUGUGUAUAUAGAGAGAUGGAUAUAAAUGUGUACCAAGUCUUGACUACGCAACAGAAGGAUUGUACAGAAACCCCACAGGCAGAAUUUAUAAUUGUAAUAUUCUAUGCUGUAGAUCCGAGCUCCUCUGGAUGUGCACGCAUUUUCAUUUCCCAGGGAAAUGUCCGAGUUGUGCUCAGCAACUGAGUAAAAUUCUCCUGCACCGGUAACCUCAGGGAGGGGUUUUUGCCUGUAUGUGUACGGAGGAGAGGAGGAUUGAGACACUGUCCAAGUUUCCCAUUUCCUCACAGCUACAAAGCUCCCCCCACCUCCGGCUGAUUGGGUUGUGGACAUCUUCCCCCAGCCCACUCCCAAUUCUGGCUGGGAUGGAGCGAAUGAAAAUAACUUGACUCGAUUCUUCCCCUAGACUCUGUGAUUCUCUGAAUUUGGGAAACAUAAAUGUUCCCAGAGGGAGUUCCCAACCUAGGGGAGCUGUUUACUAGGGAUAUUGCCUUAAAAUUAGCCCGCCCAAAGCGCCGGUACAAAGACCUCAUUUCCAUUAUGCAAAUGAACGGCACCGUCUCUGAUCUUGGGGGGUGGGAUGGGCGGUGACGCUCAGCUCACUCUCCCUGUUCCAGGCACCCAGGUCCAUGGGCACCCCAGGAGCCCCAAAGUGUUUCAACCCCCUGUACCAGCCACCUUCCCUCCCUACCUGUCCUUCGGAUUGCUCACAAGAAAGAGGGGCCCGAGACUUUCCGGGCAGGCUCCCUCGGGGCCUCCGCACUGGGCCGGGCCUUCUGGCCUCGGAAAGUCACUCUUUCUGCCCAAAUGCUGAAAGGGCAGCUCUCCUGUGGUCCAGACUCUGGAGGCGCCACAGCCGCUGGGUUUGCCCCCCAGCACCGCCGGCCCCCCUCCACCUCGGCAGUUCUGGCCCAGACCCUAGUAACACCUCGGCCUGCCUGGCACCGCAGGCAAUUUCCUGGAGCCCCCGCCCAGGAACUGGGGCCACAGCACCUUGAAAGGAGCGGCCAGAGCUUCCUCCUGCGGCUUGAAAGCCCGAGCUAAUCAGUAACCCGUGAGACAGGGGCCAAUAUUCAAACUCGGCAGCGGAGGCCCCGUACCCCUGCCCUCGCCACCCCCUUCUGGGAGAGCAGUCGGGUUAAGCGGGUGUGAGGGGUCCUGCAAGAACGGAAAUCACAAUGGUCUGGUUCCUUAAUGAUUGAUCCCUGCUCCCACUCCCAAUUUUUACCCAAAGCAUAUUUGUGUCGAUUUUGCUUGAAACGGUCGAGAAUGGGGGAGGGGACCCACACUCACUUGCAGACACCAACAGUUUCCAGAAAAUUCGGCUCAAUUCCUUCACCACGGACUCACCGGCCAACCCGGAGAACACAGACCCGGUCUGUCUUUAGACAGCCGAGUGGAACUGCGGGACCGGCGCCUCCCCUGCUGGCCCCCUCCUUUGGCCGAAAAGAAAACCAAAUAAACCUUGAACAGCCUUGGCCUCGCAUCUCCCGAGCGGCCCGGAUGAUCCCCUCUGUAGCCUUGGAGGGGUAGGAGGGUGAGGACUCUCGACUCUGAUCCCCCAACCCUUUGGUUCAGGGCCCCCUGCCCGCGGGAUGCAGUAUUAGUCCUUUUUAAAUAUGUCCUAGAAAAAGCCGCUUUCCCAGCCAGCCGCUGGGUUUGGAGCUGGAAUGGGGCGGGCCAGGAGGAAGGGACACUUGUUUUCUAAUCCACACGCGGAAUGGCGGGUACCAAGAUCCAGCGGAAAGCGACAAUCUGGGCCCGAAGUCCCCGCAACCCGCCGAACCUGAGCAGCAGGGGCUCCGGGCGUCGCGCACGGUUCAGGCAGUGAGUGUCGCCCGGCUUGCGGCGCCGAAGCCGCAUGUCUCCGAACGGACGGUAGAUGGCAGCAAACCGCAUAAUUUGGGUCAGAGCAAACUGUCUAAGGGAUGAUUUAUAACCACACCAAGACUACAGGAGAAAAAGACCUUCAGUCUGGAUGGGUUUGGGGAAUUUUUCCUUUGAGAAUAGGCCCCGAGUACCGUGGGUGCUGGCCGAGAACUUCUCUCGCUGCGUAGCCGAGGGUCCCCGCAGGUACCCAGUCCGGGCCUGCUUCUAGGCAUCUACCUGUGCCUCCAGGGACCCCCUUCCCGCGCCACAAGUGGCCUGCAUCCCUCUCUUCCCAGCUCAGGAUCCAGAAUGCCAAUAUCCCCCUACCGACCCCCAUCCCCCGCGAUCCCUGGGCCACCAGAGGCCCCAGGCCGAACGCUCUGCAUUUGGUCUUUAAAAAGAGGAAAGCAGUCACCUAUUCGUGCAAACCAAACUAAAUCAUAGUCUCUCCUGCCCUCCACGCCCCAAACCGCUUAUCUCUCCGCUGGCAGCUUCCCCGGAAGCCCUCCCACUCACUCUGUUUUUAGGUUCUCACCAGCUUUCCCCUUCUUCCACCCCACCAGCUACUUUAGGAAUUUCGGUCUCCCUCCCAACGAUCCUUCUCCCCCCCUCCUCCCCACCCCCAGGAGGCCUGGCUGGAGAAUGAAAUCAGGCGCCGGAGGGACAGGACUAGCUGUCUGAGCUCAGCGCCAGGCAGCUCUCCAGUCCGGACACCAUCAGGUUCCCUAACUGGGUUUUCUUUUUGAUUUUCUUCUGCUGCUUCUUCUUCUUCUCUCUCUGUCCCUCCCUGUUUUGUUUUUGUUUUUGUGUACAAGCCUCAAACACAACAACACACUCCACAGCUUCUUCACAAUCACCACGAUUGGAUCCGGGGAAAGUUUGAGGUGCUCCCACCUGAGACACACACAUGGCAAUUUCCUCCACCGAAAUCCACACACCCAUAAAACACAAGUAAUAGAAUCAAUAUUGCACAGACACCAACACGCUGUGACCUACCGCGUUAAAAACCACAAAACUGUCUCCCUGCAGAGCGACGCUCCCUCCUGCGGGAGUGGCGACAGACCUGGGCAUUCUCAGGCUGGCUUCCUGGGGGGAGGGGGUCUCCCUCGAUGUUGGUGCCUCCACCCACAGCCCUUGAAUUUCAAAAAUGUCUCCGUAAGGGAGAUAAUGAGCAUUUCUCUGUGAAUUGUUCUUUCUGUGUCCCUCUAGCCGCCGCCUCCUCGCCCUCGCGGGCCUCUGCGGACAUUCCAGGCCCUCCAGAGACCAGAACGUCCCUCGGCACCACCUCCCCUUGUGCCAAUGCCGCCGGGAAACCGCCGAUACCCAUGCCGGGCAAGAGAACUGCGCGGGGGGCAACUGGGGGAGGCCGGAACAAGGGGGGGGGUGGGAGGGGGAGGGGGCGCGCACCCACAGAGGCCAUAGCGACAGGCUUCUAGGGCGCCCUGGAGCCCUGGCGCCCUGGAGCCCAGACGCCCCCAUCGUCUCCUUUGCAGCCCCCU